UAAUACCCCACCCGUCCCCAAUCGCAAUGCUCGCCUCCCCCGUUUCGCAUUCCGAUGGAAGCUGAAGGGAAGAGAGAAAAGACGAGAGCGCGGUCGCCCGAACGAUCCGCCGAGUUGCAGACUUCGUCGGGAAGCCUAUCUUUCUCGUAUUCUCCAUACGGAAAGAAAGGCUGAACCGAAGCCGCUCUGCCUGCAGAUUCCAUACGGAUUCGGCCGAUGCCGGCCGCAAUUCCAAAACGCCGGUGUCUUGGAUCGUCCAAUAACAUUGCGCCGACAGUCGAUGGCAGGCGAAGGGGCGGGGAUCGGUGGGGGUUUCGGUCCGAUCCCCGCUUUCGAUGAUGCCCAAUGUCACACACAAUGCUGUUUCCAAUUCUUCCGAUGCCUCGCCCGAUUACAGUGAAGACCACUCAGUACAGCGGGGAAUUUCCACAGAGAGAUGAUCAACCUGAUUGCCAGGAUGGGAAAUCAUGUAAAUAUAGAGUUUCCUGCAAGUUCAAUCAUCUCCGGCAUGCCACAGAACUGACUUCCCUGUUGCAGGAUCCUCAGCCAGUUUAUAUUCUGGUCUUAUGACACCAGCAUCAGGGCCAUCAGUAAUUGAAGUUUCACCAUGGUGUUCACCAAUAAUUAUUUACAUGUUCAGUGAACAUAUGCAAGAUCUCCCAGCUUGCUUAUCUUUGGUUCUUCCAACCACCCAAGGAUAGAUGCCCGUGCAGCAGGGUGGGACACAU